CGGAGGAUCCAAGCGUUAUCCGGAAUCAUUGGGUUUAAAGGGUCCGUAGGCGGUUUUGUAAGUCAGUGGUGAAAGCCCAUCGCUCAACGGUGGAACGGCCAUUGAUACUGCAAGACUUGAAUUACUAGGAAGUAACUAGAAUAUGUAGUGUAGCGGUGAAAUGCUUAGAUAUUACAUGGAAUACCAAUUGCGAAGGCAGGUUACUACUAGUGGAUCGACGCUGAUGGACGAAAGCGUGGGGAGCGAACAGGAUUAGAUACCCUGGUAGUCCACGCCGCAAACGAUGGAUACUAGCUGUUCGGAGCAAUCUGAGUGGCUAAGCGAAAGUGAUAAGUAUCCCACCUGGGGAGUACGUUCGCAAGAAUG
rnacentral:rRNA from 1 species